UACAGAGGUCCCAAGCGUUGUUCGGAUUCACUGGGCGUAAAGCGCACGUAGGCGGCCGACUAAGUCGGGUGUGAAAGCCCAGGGCUCAACCCUGGAAGUGCACUCGAAACUGACCGGCUUGAAUAUGGAAGAGGGUCGCGGAAUUCCCGGUGUAGAGGUGAAAUUCGUAGAUAUCGGGAGGAACACCAGUGGCGAAGGCGGCGACCUGGGCCAAUAUUGACGCUGAGGUGCGAAAGCGUGGGGAGCAAACAGG
rnacentral:rRNA from 1 species